rnacentral:rRNA from 1 species
AUUGAACGCUGGCGGCAGGCUUAACACAUGCAAGUCGAGCGAGCGGCGGAAGGGUGAGUAAUGUCUGGGAAACUGCCUGAUGGCGGGGGAUAACUACUGGAAACGGUAGCUAAUACCGCAUCCAAUCAGCUGUGCCCAGAUGGGAUUAGCUAGGAGGUGGGGUAAUGUAUAACCUAGGCGAAGAUCCCUAGCUGGUCUGAGAGGAUGACCAGCCAAACGGGAAAGGAGACAAGGUCCAGAUUCCUACGGGAGUCAGCAGGGGGGAAUAGUGCACAAUGGGCGCAAGCCUGAUGCAGCCAUGCCGCGUGUGUGAAGAAGGCCUUCGGGUUGUAAAGCACUUUCAGCGAGGAGGCGUUACUCGCAGAAGAAGCACAGGCUAACUCCGUGCCAGCAGCCGCGGUAAUAC